AAAUGAAUAGACGGGGGCCCGCACAAGCGGCGGAGCAUGCGGAUUAAUUCGAUGCAACGCGAAGAACCUUACCAAGGCUUGACAUAUACGAGAACGCUCUGGAAACAGAGAACUCUUUGGACACUCGUAUACAGGUGGUGCAUGGUUGUCGUCAGCUCGUGUCGUGAGAUGUUGGGUUAAGUCCCGCAACGAGCGCAACCCUCGUCUUAUGUUGCCAGCGGUUCGGCCGGGGACUCAUAAGAGACUGCCGGGGUCAACUCGGAGGAAGGUGGGGAUGAGGUCAAAUCAUCAUGCCCCUUAUGUCUUGGGCUUCACGCAUGCUACAAUGGCCGGUACAAAGGGCAGCGAUACCGCGAGGUGGAGCGAAUCCCAAAAAGCCGGUCUCAGUUCGGAUUGAGGUCUGCAACUCGACCCCAUGAAGUCGGAGUCGCUAGUAAUCGUGAAUCAGCAACGUCACGGUGAAUACGUUCCCGGGCCUUGUACACACCGCCCGU
rnacentral:rRNA from 1 species